GCGCUGCCGGAUACUGCAGAAGGGGUUCUCAGGCUGGCCCUUCCACUGGUGACAUUGCCAGAAGACAGUAUUCCUUGUUCUGCUAUGAAGGUUGAACAGUGCAUGGACAUCAUCAACUCUCCCCUCCUCAACUCCUUGAAGCUCCGACCUCGCCAAUGAUCUAAAGACCUCUCUGUCCUCCUCUCUUUUCCCCUCAGCCAUCAUCAACUGCUCUUCACCACUCCUCACUGCCCUCCCAUCGCCCACCAUCACCUCACUAACUUAUCCCCCUCCAUCAGGUUGAUCUAAGACGCAUACAUCCUAAGCUGAAGAAUAUGAACCGGUUGCGUUCAGAACAUCUAGUUUACGAACUUUAAGAUUCACAUCCUCUUUUGGAUGGAGUAAGAUGUGCCUUCGAAUAUAUUUCAAUUGGACAAAAGAGAGGUUGAUGAUCCCUGCCCGUACCUUCUAGCUAUAUGGACCCCAGGUAAGCACAUUAGUUGUGGCUGGAAAUGACACUAUAGGUGAAACUGCUCAAUUGAUUGAGCCCUCAACUGCAUGCUGCAACACCCAGAACAGCAGUAAAUUAUGUCAAAGGAAUACAUGGCUUUAGUUGCAAUAACAUAUGAGAAGUACAAGCUCAGACGGUCAGCUUGCAUGCGGUGAUUGACAGGGAACCGGUGAAGGGUAGGCAAUCAUUGACUCCAUCACUGAAGGGUGGAUUGGGCUUUUCCCUAGUGUUCCAGGAGUUGGGUGUUGAUUUGGGUGCUUAAUGAUGACCAAUUGGGCUCUUGUUGUUGGUUUUGGAUCGUGGAUGACAUUAUUCUGCUGGAGAACAGUAAUUUUUUUGAAGAGUAGGAGAAGCCAAGGAGAAUAAGGGAGUUUUAUCAAAGCAGAAAGGUUGAGUUGGUGACAUGUAAGAGGGAGGAUAUAUCUUAAACAAGAAAGCUAUUAUGAGUAACUGUAAAAAGACUAGUAAGAUGGUGGGGAUAUCCAAACAUCUGAGUGGUGGUGACAACAGUCAUAUUCUGUGAAUUAACAAACUGGCCUCUAUCAGAACGUAUUCAAAGUCCUUUUUCACUGAGUACUUCAAACUAUGCUCAACUACUUGUUCCUCAAGUGUUACUUCGAGUUUCCAGCUGGAAAUGUUCCUAUCCUGAAGAACCCUCGUGCCUUCUCUAUUCUCGUUAUGGUAUACGCAGGGCCCAAUUGCAAAUUGACCAUCCUGUUGGAACUUUCACAUACAGCUCUUCAAUUCUUCCUCCAACCUUCUGUUAACUUUCACAUAUACAGCCAAUAAUGGGAUCUUCAGUAACCUGAAAAGUCGUGAAAACUUUCAAACGACUUCUUAAUCAGAUGGAAAUAUUUUGAAGCAGAGAAAUCAGAUACCACUUCAACCGUCGGGCAAGUUCUUUCUAGUACUUGACUUUUCCCAGAUAAAAGUAUGAAUGAGCUUCUACUACGGGCCAGUCUUUCAUGAUGAUCCAACUUUUUGAUCUGAAGACCUCUUACUUGAGAGAAUUCAACUUGAAACUCAAGGAUUUGAGAAUCCAAGGUGUCUGUUUGUGGCAAUAGAAGUACAGGGGGCUUUUCUACAAUUUGGUGAUAGUACGUGCAUGAGAUCUUUCGAUGAUGCCUUGUAAGUCUCAGUGGGAAAUUUCCUUCUUUUUUCCCUGAUGCCUUGAAAGUCUCAUAUAAUAGAUACGACUUCUUUUUGUGCCAUCUCGGAUAAUUGUGGUGUGCAAGAUUCUAUUUAUUCUUCAGGAAAGCAAUAAUCAAACCUCCUGAUUCUUGAAGUAGAUUUCA